rnacentral:SRP_RNA from 1 species
GCUGGGCACGGUGGCACAUGCCUGUAGUCCCAGCUACUUGGGAGGCUGAGGUGGGAGGAUCACUUGAGCCCAGGAGUUCUGGGCUGUAGUGUGCUAUGCCAGUCGGGUGUCCACACUAAAUUCGGCAUCAAUAUGGUGGCCUCCUGGGAGCAGGGAACCAUCAGGUUGCCUAAGGAGGGGUGAACCGGCCCAGGUCGUAAAUGGAGCAGGCCAAAACUCCUGUGCUGAUCAGUAGUGGGAUUGUACCUGUGAAUAGCCACUGCACUCCAGCCUGGGCAACAUAGCGAGACCCCAUCUCU